rnacentral:miRNA from 1 species
GUCGAGCCCCUGGGGCUGUCCG